ensembl:lncRNA
AUGGCGCGCGAGGGGCGUACUGGCUCCGCCCUUCCCCGGGCUGGCUGUGGGAGCCCGGGGGACGAGUCUGGAGCUGGCCCUUCCACCGGCCUUUUCUUUUUGUUUUUGAGGAGGGGCCAGGUUAGAGUUGGGGGAGAGCCUGGGAGGAGCGGACCUCUCCCUGCGACGCUCCCUGUGGGGUUGGGUCACCUGUCUGACUCGUUCCUCCUCUCCACGCUCUCUCGCCCUCCUGCCUUUUGCACCGCCCGGGGGAACAGGGCUGGACGCGCGGGCAAUUUGAUUGUGUUUAUUUUUCUGGAGCCUGUGCGUGUUUUAUGUUUUAAUAACUUUGUCAACUCGGUGAACUUUCUCGAGAGAGCACCGGGCAGCUUCUCUCGCCUCUCUCCUUCCCCCUUGUCUCUCACUGGCCUCUGGGUCGCUUCCAAAAGGUUGCUUCCUUCGAGUUUUCCCUGUGAAGCUUCACCUUGGCGUGGUCCACACGGAAGGCAGAAUCAACCCCACUCACAGGCCUCCACCAAGGCUGCUGCGGGUCUAUCAGCUUGUUCCCCGGGAGUUCAGGAGCCUCCUCAGACCUUCCCGAGGGUCCUCCAGCGAGUCCUCAGUCUCAGCUCUCACAGACAGAAAAGAGAGAUCUGA